rnacentral:rRNA from 1 species
GCUUAUCAUGCAGUCGUGGGGCAGCAGGGGUAGCAAUACCCGCUGGCGACCGGCAAACGGGUGCGGAACACGUACGCAACCUUCCUUUAACUGGAGAAUAGCCCCUCGAAAGAGGGAUUAAUACUCCGUAACAUAUACAUGUGGCAUCACAAGUAUAUUAUAGCUCCGGCGGUUAAAGAUGGGCGUGCGCCUGAUUAGAUAGUUGGCGGGGUAACGGCCCACCAAGUCUGCGAUCAGUAACUGGUGUGAGAGCACGACCAGUCACACGGGCACUGAGACACGGGCCCGACUCCUACGGGAGGCAGCAGUAAGGAAUAUUGGUCAAUGGACGCAAGUCUGAACCAGCCAUGCCGCGUGGAGGAUUAAGGCCCUCUGGGUUGUAAACUCCUUUUAUCUGGGAAGAAAUGCAUUUUUUCUAAAGUGCUUGACGGUACCAGAGGAAUAAGCACCGGCUAACUCCGUGCCAGCAGCCGCGGUAAUACGGAGGGUGCAAGCGUUAUCCGGAUUCACUGGGUUUAAAGGGUGCGUAGGCGGGCAGGUAAGUCCGUGGUGAAAUCUCUGAGCUUAACUCAGAAACUGCCAUGGAUACUAUUUGUCUUGAAUAUUGUGGAGGUAAGCGGAAUAUGUCAUGUAGCGGUGAAAUGCUUAGAUAUGACAUAGAACACCAAUUGCGAAGGCAGCUUACUACACAGUUAUUGACGCUGAGGCACGAAAGCGUGGGGAUCAAACAGGAUUAGAUACCCUGGUAGUCCACGCCCUAAACGAUGAUUACUCGACAUCAGCGAUACACUGUUGGUGUCUGAGCGAAGCAUUAAGUAAUCCACCUGGGAAGUACGAUCGCAAGAUUGAAACUCAAGGAAUUGACGGGGGUCCGCACAA